GACGAACGCUGGCGGCGUGCUUAACACAUGCAAGUCGAACGGAAAGGCCCUGUUUUUGUGGGGUGCUCGGCUAACGAACGAGUAAGUAACACGUGAGUAGCCUGUCAUUGCCUUUGAGCUAACUUAAGGUAACUGGAGCUCCUACCGGAUAGGAUCUCUUGCUGCAUGGUGGGGGUUGGCAAGUUUCGGCGGUUGGGGAUGGACUCGCGGCUUAUCAGCUUGUUGGUGGGGUAGUGGCUUACCAAGGCUUGGACGGUUGGCCGGCCUGGGCGGGUGACCGGCCACAUUGGGACGGGGAUACGGCCCAGACUCCACCGGGAGGCAGCGGGGGGGAUUAUUGCACAAGGGGCGGAGGCCGGAUGCAGCAACGCCGCGUGGGGGAUGACGGCCUUGGGUUGGUAACCCGUUUUCGCCUGUGACGAAGUGGUAGUGACGGUACCGGGAAAAGAAGCACCGGCUAACUACGUG
rnacentral:rRNA from 1 species